rnacentral:rRNA from 1 species
CCAACCCUGAACUCAGUCGUGUACUACCCGACUGAACUUAGACC